UUGCGCGAAAGGGUUAGUAAUACAUGGAUAAUCUGUCUUUAACUCGGGAAUAACGACUGGAAACGGUCGCUAAUACCGGAUGUGGUGAGGCAAGGCAUCUUGCCAUCAUUAAAAUUGGGGACCUUCGGGCCUUGUGGUUAAAGAGGAGUCCAUGGGAUAUCAGCUUGUUGGUAGGGUAACGGCCUACCAAGGCUAAGACGUCUAGGCGAGUUGAGAGAUUGACCGCCAACACUGGGACUGAGACACUGCCCAGACUCCUACGGGAGGCUGCAGUCGAGAAUCAUUCGCAAUGGGCGAAAGCCUGACGAUGCGACGCCGUGUGAACGAAGAAGGCCUUCGGGUUGUAAAGUUCUUUCGCUGAGGAGCAAGAGAAGUCGGAUAAUACCUGGCUGAUUUGAGAGUACUUAGUAAAGAAGCACCGGCUAACUCCGUGCCAGCAGCUGCGGUAAUACGGAGGGUGCAAGCGUUAAUCGGAUUCAUUGGGCGUAAAGGGCGUGUAGGCGGGAGAAGAAGUCAGACGUGAAAUCCCAGAGCUCAACUCUGGAACUGCAUCUGAAACUCUUUUUCUCGAGGGUAGACGGAGAAAACGGAAUUCCACGUGUAGCGGUGAAAUGCGUAGAUAUGUGGAAGAACACCUGUGGCGAAAGCGGUUUUCUAGUUUAUUCCUGACGCUGAGGCGCAAAAGCUAGGGGAGCGAACAGGAUUAGAUACCCUGGUAGUCCUAGCUGUAAACGAUGCAUACUUGGUGUAGCUGGAAUCAACCCCGGCUGUACCGUAGCUAACGCGUUAAGUAUGCCGCCUGGGGAGUACACUCGCAAGGGUGAAACUCAAAAGAAUUGACGGGGGCCCGCACAAGCAGUGGAGCAUGUGGUUUAAUUCGAUGCAACGCGAAGAACCUUACCCAGACUUGACAUGUAGUGGACCGCAACAGAGAUGUUGCUUUCCUUAGGGACCGCUAUGCAGGUGCCGCAUGGCUGUCGUCAGCUCGUGCCGUGAGGUGUUGGGUUAAGUCCCGCAACGAGCGCAACCCUUAUCAUUAGUUGCCAGCAUUUCGGAUGGGAACUCUAAUGAGACUGCCUAGGUUAACUAGGAGGAAGGUGAGGAUGACGUCAAGUCAGCAUGGCCCUUAUGUCUGGGGCUACACACGUGCUACAAUGGUCGGUACAGAGGGCAGCGAAACCGUGAGGUGGAGCAAAUCCCAGAAAACCGAUCCCAGUUCGGAUUGUAGUCUGCAACUCGACUACAUGAAGUUGGAAUUGCUAGUAACGGCGUGUCAGCAAUAACGCCGUGAAUACGUUCCCGGGCCUUGUACACACCGCCCGUCACAUCAUGGGAGUUGGUUUUACCCGAAGCCGCUGACUCAACCGCAAGGGGAGAGGCGUCUAAGGUGAGGCUGAUGACUGGGAUGAAGUCGGAACAAGGUA
rnacentral:rRNA from 1 species